rnacentral:rRNA from 1 species
CUGGCUCAGGACGAACGCUGGCGGCGUGCCUAACACAUGCAAGUCGAACGGUCUGGUGUUUAACACCAAACGCUACAUGCUAACCGGGGAAUUACAAUUGAGCCGCGUCUUAUGAACGAGCAACCGGAAACGUAAGAGCGAUUGGUGUUGAACGCCAGGUAGUGGCGAACGGGUGAGUAACGCGUAAACAACCUGCCUCAUAGAUGGGGACAACACCGCGAAAGUGGUG